rnacentral:rRNA from 1 species
CGCAGCCUGAUGCAGCCACGCCGCGUGUGUGAUGACGGUCUUCGGAUUGUAAAGCUCUGUCUUUUGGGACGAAAGUUUUGGGACCUUACCUGUAUUGCAAUGACCGUUUAAUUCCAAGCCCGCCACCGCUACUAUAUGCCAGCAGCCGCGGUAAUA